rnacentral:lncRNA from 1 species
UGCUAUCACAGAAAUGCCUUUUGUUUUCUGUAAGUGAGUAGUGUGAUGACUUUCUUGCUCAUGAAGAUGAAGGACAAGAACUACUCUGGACUGAGGUCCCACACUAAUCCACACCAUCAGCAUCCACCGUAUUGCUCUGCUCAACCUGGACCCAGAGGAUACAGUGAGAAAUCCUAAGCAUUAAACCUAAGUCCAGUCCUUUGAUUACCCAGCAAAGGGGAGCAAGCUGAACUGCCUGUGAUGGAUUGACUUCUAUUAAAUUCUUCAGGUGUCACCAUGAGUGUGAACUCUAUUUAAGUAACACAGCUAGAGACUUAUUUUAUUAUAUAAUUGAUAAGAAAUAUAGCCUAGGAAGCCUAGACAAUGGAAGUGACUUCUACAGGAUAUAUUUCACUACAUGGGAACGUACUGGAAGCAGAAAAUGGAGUUACGAUUAAAUAGGGAUGCCACACGGCAGCUUCAUCCCACCCUGCCCUAAUGAGGGCCAGCAUUUGAAGGAUCUCGGCUCUUGGCUCUCUGAAUCUUGUUCCCAUGCUCUUCUGCUACAGCAAAGCUCUUGGGAUGAAGGCCAGGAGCUGCCCAGAGAUUGA